CCUACGGGUGGCAGCAGUGAGGAAUAUUGGUCAAUGGGCGUAAGCCUGAACCAGCCAAGUCGCGUGAGGGAUGAAGGUCCUAUGGAUUGUAAACCUCUUUUAUAAGGGAAUAAAGUGUGGGACGCGUCCCAUCUUGUAUGUACCUUAUGAAUAAGGAUCGGCUAACUCCGUGCCAGCAGCCGCGGUAAUACGGAGGAUCCGAGCGUUAUCCGGAUUUAUUGGGUUUAAAGGGUGCGUAGGCGGCCUGUUAAGUCAGUGGUGAAAGUUUGUGGCUCAACCGUAAAAUUGCCGUUGAAACUGGGAGGCUUGAGUAUGUUAGAGGCAGGCGGAAUGCGUGGUGUAGCGGUGAAAUGCUUAGAUAUCACGCAGAACCCCGAUUGCGAAGGCAGCCUGC
rnacentral:rRNA from 1 species